rnacentral:lncRNA from 1 species
UCAAAAUAAAUAUCCACCAUUGGAUCAUGCUAAGAUGAAAUCUCAACCAUUUAAACUCAUUUUUUAACUGCUAUUGUGGCAGUUCACAACAGUUUCUUCUACCUUCAACCCACGUCUACAUCUUCAACCCACGUCUUCAUCCUUCCUCUAUUGAUAAGUUUCAUUGGUUUCUCUAGAAACUCCCCACUCCCCUACUACUUCGCCUGAAACUAGUAACAACCCCGCUCCCCAUAUUCCACCGUUGUUGUUACGCACAGACUUACAAACCCUAGAACCCCUUCUUCUUCUUCUUCUCUCCUCUCUCUCUCUAGCGAUGACAUAAGCACUUCCAAAAACAAAGAUCAGUGCAAUUCUGAUAGUUGCAACGCAACAAUCGAACCCUAAUCGAACAACCACUGCCCUCGCUUCGACGACUCCUGCAAUUUGAUUUGUUCUGUUUCACAUGACCAAGUAACAGUCGAACUCUCUCUUCAAUUUUUUCGAUUAUGGCUUUGUCAAUUUUUAUUUGGUUUAUCAUCACGACGACUUAAAUAUAGAAUCUAAUCUCUCUGUGAUGGAUAGAUUCUAUGGUGGUGGUAUGAAUGGUUUAAGAGGUGAGAGAACUCUGCUUCUUAACGAAAAAGUAAACUUAAAAAAACUCUCUCAUAGAACUGAAAUUGGACUUCUUCUUUAAAUGUUUUGAAAUCUGGCUGAAAAUGAGAUUAUUGAUAAGUUGGUUAUAGGGUUUGAGGAGAAAUGAUGAGCAGGGGGAUCCUGAACUUGGACUUUUGGAGUAUUUUGAUUUUGGUUUACCAAUACAACCUGUUUGAUGAAAUGCCUAAGUAAAAUUCAAUGUAAGGUCCUUCUAAUUUUGUUCUUGGAAAUUAAACAGGCUACAAAGGUGCAAUGUAAGAGUUCUCCCGCUGCGGUACACCCCUCUACGGAACUCACCCACAUCUCGAGUUCGAUCCCUCUUGGGUAACUUACCAUAGUUGGUUCAGCUCAAAUCACUUCUUUUUUCUGUUGUAUGAGUCAAAACAGGUUGGAUCAGGCCAAUUCCGCAAAAAAAGUUUCUCCUUUUUUAUGAAUUUUAUAAAUAAUUAGCAGUUGGGUAUGAUCAUAGAUGUACAAGAUUGCAUUAUUUAAUUACAGCUAUAAUGUUAACUUUUUUAUAAAUUAUAGAAGGUUUUAUGCAUUUGAAUACAUUUCGGAUUACUUUCAAGGGGAUGACUACCCAGUUCCUCCUCCGUCGUUCCUUUAAGGUGGAAAGCUGGCAUACGGCCUUGUGCAUGCGGUAGCUGGUGGUUUGGAUGUUAUUGUGCCAAUGGGCAAAUGCACUGUUGGAUGGAUCAACUAGGCAUGACUUCACUUGCAAAAGUACUAAAGAUAUGUUUGUUAUGCAGGCAGCCCGGUCAGAGCGUCAAUAAGUGCUAAGUGCUCUGACAAGAAUGACAAGAACAUUGACGAUAAGUUAUGGUUAGUGUAGAAUUUGGCCAUUCUCUUGCCUUAUGCCACCACCCUCUUUAUGUCGGAUGCUUCUGCUGCUGCAUCUGCACAUCAUGCUUUGAAUGGUGAUAUAAUAUAAUUUCAUUUCAAAUGCAUGUUAGCCAUUUUUGCAUCAGAGCAAAAAAGAGUGUAAUGUUUAACUUGGUAAUGCUUUUUAUUUUUUUUUUCAUUAUAUAUGACAUUUAUUUUCAGACUACUAACCUGCUAAUCUUGUUGAGAAACUCCCAGAUCUUUAGAUGGAUUUAGCGCAUUUCUUGAAAACUGAAAAUAUGAGUGAUGACAAACCGCCAUACCGACUCUUUCAUACUUGCUACUUUUCCCUUUGAGAAAUUCUUGGCUACCGCUAAUAUUUUCAUCCAACUUAAAUAUUUUAUGUAUUACUUAACAUUUAUCCUCUUGACUUUCUAAAUUUAUUUGUUUGUGGUUAUGUUAAAGUGUUUUAAUUGGUUGGAUUGUUGUCAUAUAAAAACGUCAACAGGUCGAAAAGAGGCCACUUUUGAGCUUAAAGAGGACGAUAUAAAAGCUGAAAAAAACCAACCAUGUGUGAAUGUUAUUACACCUUCCCCCAAUGUUGCUUAUCGUUUACUUUUUCAUUAAAAUGACGCCAUUUCAUGUUUUAC